GGUUACGGUUCAGGGGUAGAACGCUCGUCUAACAUGGGCGAGGCCCUGGGUUCGAUCCUCAGCACCA
rnacentral:tRNA from 1 species